UACGUAGGGAGCAAGCGUUGUCCGGAUUUACUGGGUGUAAAGGGUGCGUAGGCGGCUUAUCAAGUCAGGCGUGAAAUAUAUGGGCUUAACCCAUAGACUGCGUUUGAAACUGAUGAGCUUGAGUGAAGUAGAGGUAGGCGGAAUUCCCGGUGUAGCGGUGAAAUGCGUAGAGAUCGGGAGGAACACCAGUGGCGAAGGCGGCCUACUGGGCUUUAACUGACGCUGAGGCACGAAAGCAUGGGUAGCAAACAGG
rnacentral:rRNA from 1 species